CUCUAGCAUAGACCAAUGGGAGAGAAGAGCGCGAUGGGAAACAUGGAGGAGAAAGUAAACCAAAACAGCAGCUACAAAAAGCUAGCCAGAGAAUUGAUACUUUAUUUCUAAAGCUACUAUUAACAUAUUGUUUUCAGACUAAUUGGCUUAAACGUCGACUAAAAGUGUUGAUACGUUACGAUAUGAUAAGUAAAAUGUCUCUGAGUGCAACGUGUGAAUCGGUUUCUCAGAAAAGGACUCUGUCGAGUCUCCUCGCUGGUCGUGUGGUUAAGAGGCUGAAGCAGGAAGAUGGGCAAAAGCUGCAGGAGGCAACAAUCCAGCUGUUGGAACAGCAGCAGAACAUCUGCAGUCUACUCAGGGAGGUGGGGAAUCCAGAUCUGUGCAACAUUUUCUGCACUCAGAAUGGAGAGCAGAAACAGUCAGAGUCUGAAGGCAUCUCAUCUGCCGUUGCAGUUUCACUGCUGGUGUGUGAGCUAAGGCAUCAGGCCUUGCAGCUGGGUGUCCCGGUGGCAGUGCUGUCAGUGAAGAUGAUGCUGGAGAGACUGAUGGAGAUCACUGAAACCGAGGAAGCGAAGGAGGAAGAGGACAAAAGAAGUGGGCUUCUCACUUCCUCUCAGAGAGUCCAGCUGUGUCUCCUGCUGGAGUCCAGCAAAGAACUGCUGUCACAGGGAGCCCUCUGCCCUAAACUGCUCUGGCAGGAGUACAGAAGAGAUCAGAGGCUACCAAAGCUGGAGGUGGUGUACCAUCUUCACUUUCACAACAUCGUCACUCUGAAGUACAUCAUAGAGAGUGAUGAAGGAGUGAAGCUGUGGUUGGUCUCUCAGGCGAAGGCUCUGUGCGGUUGGAAGCCUCCACAGGGAGAAGAGGAGACCAAACAAGUUCAACAGAAAGUGUUGUCAACUGUGGUUGGAGUCUUGUUGGGAAGUGGCUUUGAGCUGAGCCAGGAGUCAGCAGCUGCAGACAGGAGGAUCUCCCAGCUCUGCUGCUCAGUGCUGGAUGACAUGCUCUUCUGGCUUCUAGACACUGUGGAAGAGGGUCUGACGCUGCAGUGUGCUGGAGCAGGAUCUGAGCUAUGGAUUCAGAUAUUUGAUGCUUCACUGUGUGGAGUUUCAGUGUCAGUGGAUACCCUUCGUUGUUUCUUCACACACUCCCUGACACAGACUCUCACUUACAAGCCUCGACUAACAGUGUCUGAUGCCAUCACUCUGCAGAACGAGUGGACCUUUGCAAAAGCAAGCCGGUUGUUGACCUCUCUUUUCUGUAAGCUGGCUGUGAUCUUCAGUGUGGAGCAGCUGCUGUGUCACCUGCAGCAGGUUUUGGAAACCCACGAGGUCAACUGGAAACACGUCCUGUGCUUCCUCUCCACUCUGCUGGUGUACAAUCCCUGUGCCCAGAGCAGCCUUAAAGAGCUGCUGUCCAGACUGCUGAGCUCUGCAUUUGAAGGCUAUGACCUGGAGAACAUGAUAACUGCCUUCCUCUUGGCUCGACAGGGUGCACUGGAGGGACCGGGCAUCUUCCCUUCCUACAGCAGCUGGUUCAAGAUGUCUUUCGGUGGAGGCAGUGGCUACCAUGCGACCAGUAAGAAAUCUCUGGUUUUUCUGCUGAAGUUCCUGUCUGACUUGGUGCCCUUUGAACCCCCACAGUACCUCAAGGUUCACAUCCUGCAACCUCCAUAUGUACCCGUGAAACACCGCAGCCUCCUGAUGGAGUACGUCUCUCUGGCCAAGACCAGGCUGGCUGACCUCAAGGAGCCAGUGGAGGACAUGGGUAUAUAUGAGGAUGUUUCUGGUGCAACUGGAGCAUCAUUGCAGCCCCAGUGCCAGGCUGUCCAGGAUGUGGAGAAGGCAGUGUCUCUGUUUGAGAGCACAGGAAGAAUCUCAGCCACAGUCAUGGAGGCCAGUAUUUUUCGGAGGCCGUAUUUCCUGACACGAUUCCUCGCUGCUCUGCUGACACCGAGGAUACUUCCUGUCAAAGCUGAUGCUCGGAUGAGUUUCAUAGAAGCUCUGAAAAAGGCAGAUAAGAUUCCUGCUGCACAGUAUUCAUCUUAUGUGGAGUCCUGCCAGAAACAGAGGCAGCAGGAUGGGAGUGCAUUGUGUCUGGACAUUAAUGAUGAUCCUCUGGAGGUCCUGAAGAUUCAGCUGCAGGAGUUCACAGAGCUGGUUGUUGAGGGAAAUGACGGAGAGAUGUCGGCCCAGCUGUCCAGGAUCUCACACACUCUGAGUGUCAUCUUUCCUGGCCGUCCUGAUGAGCUGAUUGGACAGACAGUCAUCACAAUUCACUUAAACACCCCUCCAUCCCCUGAGCUCCACGUCAAAGUCAUCAACAUGAUCCUGAGAAACUUCUGCCAAUGCAUGUUGGACGCUUCCAGAGCAAACCCUCCUAAUAAACAAAGUCUGUGGGCCUCCAGGUUUGUUAGUGUGAUGCUUGGUAACACACAGUUCCUCUCCAGCCUUAUAUGCAGACUCUGGGACCUAUUUCAUAACCAGGGGUCGUCGCUGAGUGCUGCCCACUUACUCGGCCUGGCAGCAUUAGUGGUCCAUCUCCACGCCUCCAUGUCCCACAGUCCUCUGGUUCAGCUGGUCCCGCCCAUUCUGCCUACGCCAGUACCUGUUGGAGAAGCUCUCAGCUCGGCGCUGGUCUGCAGCACACAUGCUGACAUGCUCUUGUGUGUCAGGUUGUGUGUGGCAGCUGUGUGUUAUGGGAUCUGCAGAGGGGACUCACUGCCUCAGCAACAACAGCAGGACUACAUUCUCAACAGCCUCUAUAAGAAGCUUCUGUACCUCAUCCCAAGACUGUUGCCUGAAGCCAGAAGAACUGCCAUUACUGCUGGCGGUCCAGUUAGUGAACACCAGGAGGAGAAGCUACCCGGCCUGUGGAGCAGUGUCACAGACACCAACAGCACCUGGAUGAAGACUGCUUGGCAUCUGUGGAGGCACCCAGCGUUCCAUCAGCUCAAACACACGCCACAGUAUCAGUUAUUUUUCUCAGAAUGGCUGGCUAAUGAGCUCAGAGUACACAGAAGUGAAGACGCCCUGUCAGACCCAGAACGUCAGGAGUACCAGCAAUGGGCCUGCCUGGAGCUCUACCUGUCUCGUCUGGAGGAGCAUGGAGGCUGUGGAGGAGACAUGAAGAAACUCUUCUCUCAUCUGCUCAAUGCCAUCAUGGACCAGCAGUUAAGUGACCGGAGCCUGGAAAAGCUAGAUUACAGAGGGUCAGAUACAGGGACCUGUCUGCCAGACAUCUUGUCCAGGUUACAGGAGCUUGUCUACGAGAUGGAAGUGACUAACCUCUCGGGCAGCCGCAGAAGCACAGCUGAUGUGUGCGACUUCCUCUUUACAUUUGUGUCUGAGAGAUGCUCCUCCACAGUGACCUCAGCUUCACCGAGCAUCAGCACUGAGCUCAGCCUGCAACACACACUGAACACAUGGAACAGAGUACUGCUGGCUCUCCCAGCAGUGUUAUUGAUUAAAGUAAAGUCUGAUGGGGGGAGGGCGACUCUGGAGUGCAACACGCUGAUAGAACAUGUCAACCAGCAUCAGAGGAAGGUGUGUUCUCCGGCCGGUUUGCUGUCCUGCCAUCUAACAGCACACCUCCUGAGAGGUGUGUUAUGUGCCAGCGUACGUUGUGGACACCCACAGGAAGAAGUCAACAAAGCCUGGUCUCAGAUCAGUCUACACUGUCCUCUGCUCCUGGUCUCUACAGUGCACUGGUGGGAGCGUCUAUCUCCAGUGCUGUUGUCACUGUGGCAUCGGCUGUGUGAUGGAGAGCCUCUACCAGAGCAGCUGCAGCUCCUUGCUGACUGUCACAACUGGGCCUGCAGUUUAGAGAAGGGGCUUUCGUCGUCUACAUUGCCUGCAGCUGCAGCUCUGCUACUGGCCGCCAGCCUGCAUCGCGCCUGGCAAGACCAGGGGUGCGACAACCAGGGCUUCAGUGCAGCCCUGAAUAUGCUGCAACCAGAGAGGGGCACACAGUACCGACAGGUACUAGUUUUUCUACUUUUCCUGUGUGUAAACGACCAUCUUUCAUCAUUCCUGUAUCCUCAGCAUUUCAGCCAUCAGAACGCCACAGAGUUAUGCACAGACCUUCUGCUCAUGUUAGUGGACUCUGCUGACUGGCUGCUCAUCUUUACAUCAAACAAACAAGGUGUUUACCAGUCGAUCACAAUGGUGACAUCAGAUGAGUUUACUCGACUGAUGCCUUGGGCCUUCUACAGCCUGCUGCUCCAGCAGAGUGCUGAGCUGCUACAGAGAGCUGUGUGUUGUCCAGGGUUCCUCCAGACUGCUGUCCUCUGCUACAUCAGUCUACUGAAGCUUUCCCUGGAAGGACACACACUUACACCAGCCAAUCAGGUGACUGAGCCUCAGAUCAUCAGAUUCUGAGCUACGCCAAACAGUUUCUUCUGAGAGCGAUCUCGUGGACCCCUCCAACUGCUCUGUCCCCCAGCCAACUCAGACAGCUGGAGUCCCAGUGUGCAGACCUGGACCCAGAGGUGGCAGCGGCUCUCUCUGUGCACCUCGACCCUCACAGCCUCAGCCCAGAGAUGGACUUCCUCUGAAAAGCCGCGGACUUACGUUCAGACAGAGAAACUGCCUAAAGUGAACCGUGAAACCCACUUGACUACAAAAAUCUUCUUUAUUCCCUCGAGCUUCGGAGGGGGUCUCGUUCACAGUAAUGGUAACUGACUAUUAGCAGGUACUUUAUUUGUUUUAAUGUAAUCCAACUUUACAUCUAACAGAAACAUGUUCCUCUUGUCAUAUUUAUUAAACACUGUUUAGAUCUUACCAGUUUUACCAACAUUUUAUGUCUUUUUAUACAUAAUGCACACAGGACUUUAUUUUACACAUGUUCAUCUGAAGCCCUUUUUACAAUACAGAUUUACACUCUUAAAAGUACUUAGCAUUGUAAUAACUUAAUAAAAAACAGUGACCUAAUACAAUUGAACUGAAUGUUCUUGGAAAUCAUUCUAUUUGCACUGUGAGGCAGUAACACAGCACAGACAAGUGCUUCACAUAUAUGAAGGUAAGGUAACAAGAAUAUUGCAUUAUAGGACUUACAAUUGAAUGCAUGUAGGUUAUGCAGUUGUUAAUAUGUGGCUGCUACUGUGUACUUCAGCUAUCAAAUAAAACCGUAUUGUUACUUUAUUUGGCUGUACUGUAAACCGAUACGCCAACUGCUAGUAUACCAGUGGUUAUUUUUAUGAAGUCCCUGUCUGUGUGGGAACAAAACGCCCCACAUGUGACCCAGAAACUUGGAUCCUAAGAUUCCUAAUGCCUUCACUCCAGAGAUUUGUCAAAGAUAUGAUGUGAAGGAGCUUUCCUUCUGCUGCUUCCC